GACGAACGCUGGCGGCGUGCCUAAUACAUGCAAGUUGAGCGAUGAAGAUUGGUGCUUGCACCAAUUUGAAGAGCAGCGAACGGGUGAGUAACGCGUGGGGAAUCUGCCUUUGAGCGGGGGACAACAUUUGGAAACGAAUGCUAAUACCGCAUAACAACUUUAAACAUAAGUUUUAAGUUUGAAAGAUGCAAUUGCAUCACUCAAAGAUGAUCCCGCGUUGUAUUAGCUAGUUGGUGAGGUAAAGGCUCACCAAGGCGAUGAGACAUAGCCGACCUGAGAGGGUGAUCGGCCACAUUGGGACUGAGACACGGCACAAACGGCUACGGGAGGCAGCAGGAGGGAAACGUGGGCAAGGGACGAAAGGCUGAGCGAGCAACGCCGCGUGAGGGAAGAAGGUUGUCGGAUCGUAAAACUCGGUUGGUAGAGAAGAACGUGGGUGAGAGUGGAAAGCACAUCAAGUGACGGUAACGACUCAGAAAGGGACGGCUAACUACGUG
rnacentral:rRNA from 1 species